rnacentral:rRNA from 1 species
UGGGGAAUAUUGGGCAAUGGGGGCAACCCUGACCCAGCAACGCCGCGUGAGGGAUGAAGGCCUUCGGGUUGUAAACCUCUGUCCUUGGGGACGAAUAGAUGACGGUACCCAGGGAGGAAGCUCCGGCUAACUACGUGCCAGCAGCCGCGGUAAUACGUAGGGAGCGAGCGUUGUCCGGAAUCACUGGGCGUAAAGGGUGCGUAGGCGGUUAUUUAAGUCAGAUGUGAAAUACCCGGGCUUAACCUGGGGGCUGCAUCUGAUACUGGAUGACUUGAGUACAGGAGAGGAAAGUGGAAUUCCUAGUGUAGCGGUGAAAUGCAUAGAUAUUAGGAGGAACACCAGUGGCGAAGGCGGCUUUCUGGACUGUAACUGACGCUGAGGCACGAAAGCGUGGGGAGCAAACAGG